GUGACAGUGUGUGAAAACACAAUGAGUCAACAGCUUGCCAUGCUCAUAGUCAGGAAGUGGCAGGCUAGGGAGGUGGCAGGUUAGGGAGGUGGCAGGUUAGGGAGGUGGCAGACUAGGGCUAGGGAGGUGGCAGGUUAGGGAGGUGGCAGACUAGGGCUAGGGAGGUGGCAGGUUAGGGAGGUGGCAGACUAGGGCUAGGGAGGUGGCAGGUUAGGGAGGUGGCAGGUUAGGGAGGUGGCAGACUAGGGCUAGGGAGGUGGCAGGUUAGGGAGGUGGCAGACUAGGGCUAGGGAGGUGGCAGGUUAGGGAGGUGGCAGGUUAGGGAGGUGGCAGACUAGGGCUAGGGAGGUGGCAGGCUAGGGAGGUGGCAG